rnacentral:rRNA from 1 species
UACGAAGGGGGCUAGCGUUGUUCGGAAUUACUGGGCGUAAAGCGCGCGCAGGCGGUCUUCCAAGUCAGUGGUGAAAGCCCGGAGCUCAACUCCGGAAUUGCCAUUGAAACUGUGAGACUGGAGUACGAGAGAGGUGAAUGGAAUUCCCAGUGUAGAGGUGAAAUUCGUAGAUAUUGGGAAGAACACCGGUGGCGAAGGCGGCUCACUGGCUCGUAACUGACGCUCAGGCGCGACAGCGUGGGGAUCAAACAGG